GGGGGUCAUGGCUCAGUGGUAGAACAUCUGCUUUGAACGCGGAAGGUCCCAGGCUCAAUCCUUGGCAUCUCCA
rnacentral:tRNA from 1 species